rnacentral:rRNA from 1 species
CGAGCACGCGCGUGUGGCAUAUCAAUAAGCGGAGGAAAAGAAACUAACAAGGAUUCCCUUAGUAACGGCGAGUGAAGCGGGAAGAGCUCAAAUUUGAAAUCUUCAAGGUUCUACCUUGACGAAUUGUAGUUUAUAGAAGUGUUUUCUGUUAGUGGAGUGGCAAAAGUUCUUUGGAAUAGGACAUCAUAGAGGGUGAGAAUCCCGUAUUUGGUCAUUCCUCCUAGCGUUGUGAUACACUUUCAACGAGUCGGAUUGUUUGGGAAUGCAGUCCAAAAUGGGUGGUAAAUUUCAUCUAAAGCUAAAUAUUGGCGAGAGACCGAUAGCGAACGAGUACCGUGAGGGAAAGAUGAAAAGAACUUUGAAAAGAGAGUUAAACAGUACGUGAAAUUGUCAAAAGGGAAGCGUUUGACACCAGUGUUGUUUUUCCGAAAAUCAAUUACGAAUGUUUUGUUUUUGAGGAGUUAUGACUUCAUCGGCUUGCUCCUUUCUUUACUGAAACUUUCUUAAUGCACUUUUCGGUUAACAAGUCAACAUCAAUUUCUUUUGUUGUAAAAGGGUAUGAGGAAGGUGGCUUUCUUUUCGGAGAAAGUGUUUAUAGCCUUGUGCCUCUGCAAUCGGAGAGAUUGAGGUCUGCAGCGUAGAUCCUUCGGGGUUAGAUACGUUUGUGCUAAGUUAUAGCUUUUCAUAGACAACUUGUUGACUAUGUUUAGUCUUGUAGCUUACUCGCUUACUGCUAUUUUACCUACGCUUAGGAUGUUGAUGUGAUACUGCGAGCA